CGAAAGCCUGACGGAGCCAGACCGCGUGAGGGAAGAAAGCCCUUGGGUUGUAAACCUCUUUUCUCAGGGAAGAAACCUGACGGUACCUGAGGAAUCAGCAUCGGCUAACUCCGUGCCAGCAGCCGCGGUAAUACGGAGGAGGCAAGCGUUAUCCGGAAUUAUUGGGCGUAAAGCGUCCGCAGGUGGCGAUUCAAGUCUGCUGUCAAAGCCCACAGCUCAACUGUGGAUCGGCAGUGGAAACUGAAUAACUUGAGAGCGGUAGGGGUAGAGGGAAUUCCCGGUGUAGCGGUGAAAUGCGUAGAUAUCGGGAAGAACACCAGUGGCGAAGGCGCUCUACUGGGCCGCGACUGACGCUGAGGGACGAAAGCUAGGGGAGCG
rnacentral:rRNA from 1 species